rnacentral:lncRNA from 1 species
UUUCAGGAGAAAUGAUACCAGCUUUUUUUGUACCUCUGGUAGAAUUCAACUGUGACUCCAUCUGGUCCUGGGCUUUUUUUGAUUGGGAAGCCAUGUGACUUCAUCCUCCGUGGCUCUGGUGGUCUCUUCGACAUCUGUGAGAUACUCACUAAAAGCUGGUUGCGCUUUGAGAUCUGGGCGCCUGCUGGAACCUGGAGCCACAAGUCUUCAUUCAUGCUAAAGAACUCCUGUCUUGGUGGAGUGGCUCGGCUGGCCCGUGUAUGGGAACCCAUGAGGCUGUCCGCGCAUCCCGAAGUGUGACCUUCCAGGCCCACAGGGUGGCUGGCGCUGGGCUUCUUCGUGGCCCGCGACAGUCCGGCCACCUUCAUCGGCCAGUGGCGCACGGAUCUGGGCGACUCCGAAGUGCUCCGCGAGCUGGCAAGGGAGACACUGGGACUCUGCACCCGCUCAGCUCCCCAAGAUAAAGGCCUCGGAGGGGAAGUUCCGCGUGGGAGACUCCGGCCUGUUGGUCUCUGUGCUGGUGCGGGGGAGCCGCGUGACGGCGCGCGUGGGUGUGGCGACCCGCUGGAGCGCUACCUGGACCGUCAGGACCCGCGCUGCCGCUCCUCCACUACCCACUGCCCGCCCCCGUCGAGGGUC